rnacentral:rRNA from 1 species
UGGGGAAUAUUGGACAAUGGGCGAAAGCCUGAUCCAGCCAUGCCGCGUGUGUGAAGAAGGCCUUUUGGUUGUAAAGCACUUUAAGUGGGGAGGAAAAGCUUAUGGUUAAUACCCAUAAGCCCUGACGUUACCCACAGAAUAAGCACCGGCUAACUCUGUGCCAGCAGCCGCGGUAAUACAGAGGGUGCAAGCGUUAAUCGGAAUUACUGGGCGUAAAGCGCGCGUAGGCGGUUAUUUAAGUCAGAUGUGAAAGCCCCGGGCUUAACCUGGGAACUGCAUCUGAUACUGGAUAACUAGAGUAGGUGAGAGGGGAGUAGAAUUCCAGGUGUAGCGGUGAAAUGCGUAGAGAUCUGGAGGAAUACCGAUGGCGAAGGCAGCUCCCUGGCAUCAUACUGACACUGAGGUGCGAAAGCGUGGGUAGCAAACAGGAUUAGAUACCCCGGUAGUCCACGCCGUAAACGAUGUCUACCAGUCGUUGGGUCUUUUAAAGACUUAGUGACGCAGUUAACGCAAUAAGUAGACCGCCUGGGGAGUACGGCCGCAAGGUUA